rnacentral:rRNA from 1 species
AUUGAACGCUGGCGGCAGGCCUAACACAUGCAAGUCGAACGAGUGGCGGACGGGUGAGUAAUGUAUGGGAAACUGCCUGAUGGAGGGGGAUAACUACUGGAAACGGUAGCUAAUACCGCAUACCAUCGGAUGUGCCCAGAUGGGAUUAGCUUGUAGGUGGGGUAACGGCUCACCUAGGCGACGAUCCCUAGCUGGUCUGAGAGGAUGAUCAGCCACACUGGGACUGAGACACGGUCCAGACUCCUACGGGAGGCAGCAGUGGGGAAUAUUGCACAAUGGGCGCAAGCCUGAUGCAGCCAUGCCGCGUGUAUGAAGAAGGCCUUCGGGUUGUAAAGUACUUUCAGUGGGGAGGCGUUACCGGCAGAAGAAGCACCGGCUAACUCCGUGCCAGCAGCCGCGGUAAUUC